GCUCCAAAAUGUUGCUGUUCUGAGUGUCUGUCCAAAUUCCCCUGAGUGGAGCACUGCCCAUCAGAGGAGAUGGCCUGAGAGGCUCUCACAAUGGAAAUUGGAUGGGGAGUGCUGACUGAUGAGCCAGUGAGGAGGCAGCUGCGUUCUGAGGGCACAGGAGGGGUUUGUCCCACUGCCCGUGUGGCACUGCUGAGACCCAGUGGGAUCUUUGGCUUUCCAUCUGCGCCAUGUACCGAUGAGCUACGGUAUCCCUGAUGAGCUACUCUACCCCUGAGCCUGGUGUGCAGGGUGAAAAGAGUUACAUACACCUUCUCUGGCAAAGCAUCCCUAUGUGUCACAGCUAUAUUUACUUGUUUUGAAAAAAUCUUUUGCAUUUGUUACCAAUCAUUUACCAGCAACGUAUCAAAUUCUGAUAUUGGUAUUACAGUAGGUAUAAUUAGACUUAAAAAUUAAUA